GGUUAGGGUAAACUGUUAAGAUUUAAACUUACUCAUAUUACCUUCCACCAUGGGGCUUGUAACCGUCACUUGUGUCUUGAGUAGUUAAAAGAUAGAACGGUCUAGUCAAGCAUCAUGUCUCUUAUUCUUGAUUAGCUAUAGCUCUAGAGUUUUUGCAGAUUUUCAAAUAAAACUUAGAGAUUCCUUUGUAUGACUCUCUCAGAUCUCUCUUUUGUGGUAUUUCUGGAUCCUUACCAAGGCAGUGAUGGUAUAUGUCUUCUCUCUCACCCUACUCUAAUAAGGUUUUGAUAUCUGGAGCUCAUAGGUGGGAGAUAAAGUAUACAUACUUACAAGACAUUUAUUGCAUAGUCAAACCAUGGAUCCAAAGAAACAAGCCAAUAAGUCAAAUCAAGAUGUGCAUGUGUGGCGAAUGAAUGGUAUAUGAUGAUGAUGGUGAUAACAAUGGUGAAAGUCUAAUUCUACUUUUGCUCUUUUGAGGGGAUACAUACCUUCCCUGCUCUUUUGAAACUUUUUGAGGAGAAUGAGAUGCUCUAUAUUUUCUUUUUCUUUCCUCUCAGGUGGGUAUUUUGUACCCCUAAUUCUACUGUCGGACACUUGUCCAUUUUUACCUCUCGUCUCACUUUUUCUUUUCCUUCGAGGUUCCGGGCACUUGCCCCUUUUUAUUUCCUCGUAUCUCUUUUUUCUCUCUCUCUCUUUUUUAGAGCACUCAUCUCCUGAAAUAAUAUAACAAGUGGUAGUAAACAAGAUAACUUGAGCAUUUAUUUCACAGGGGAAAAACAGAAAUGUUUUUGGCUAUUCUCUCCUGGAUUAGGAGUAGAAUAUUUUUUGGUGGUUCUGG
rnacentral:lncRNA from 1 species